UAAAACUCCCUCUCAAAACAAACAAACAAACCAAAAAAACAAAUAGCAACAGCAACCACAAUCAUCAUCACCAUCAAGGCUGGAACAAGGAUGAGGCAGGCAGGCUCUGAUAGCAACAGGAGGAAGCAGACCAAGGAGGGAGAGAAAGGAAGGCAGAGAAGGGGAAAAAAAAACACAAAUGAUAAUAAUAGAUGCUGACAUUUACGGAGCACUUACUAUGUGCUGGGAACCAUGCUGACGGCACACCGAAUCCACUGAACAGGUGGAUCUCUUUGGGUUUUGGAAUAACAAAAAAGGGACUGUACAUGGAUAUUUCCAAGCUGGAACCGAGGCACUUUCUAGACGAAGGCAGCCUUAUCCCCAGGAGAUGAUUGAAAAUGUAAGAACUAUUCUGAGCCUGCAGGCCAUAGCCAAAGAGGACCUACUGUUAAGUUUUCAAGACCACCCAGAAAGAAAUUUGAAGUUGGGUUUAUAUCCUUAAUCCCUCAGUUAGAAAAAAAAGAAAAGUGAAGAAACUGCAUCUCCAAGAUCCUGCUAUAUCAACUUCAGUUUUUUGAAGUUAAAUUUGAUUUUUAAAUCCCUUGGCUGAUGAGACCUGUGUGGGUUUUUUUUUGUUGUUUUUUUGUUUUGUUUUGUUUUGUUUUAUCAUUGUACCUCUAUUUUAAAAAUAGAGACUUGUGGUUCUUUUUCCAAAAGCAGUCCAACAGAAAGUGAAUGGUGGUCAAUGCAUAAUAAAAUGAGAGUUACCUUUUGA
rnacentral:lncRNA from 1 species